rnacentral:lncRNA from 1 species
AAGAAUGACACACCAAGCACGCAGAAUGUGAGUACCGGAUAGGAACUCCGAGGGUGGUAACUCUGCUGAGGGACAAAAGAAUGCAGAAAACUUUGUUAGAUACUUUUGGAAAUGCUAGAAUGCACCGUAACAUUCUAGAUCUGGGUUUUGGGAAGCAGAUCUUAACCUGCCUUUUGGUAAAAUUUCAGGCUGGAAUGGCUGCAAUCCAAAGAGGAAAGGAAUUUUAAAAAACAUGAACUCAAUAGGCAAGGCAACUAAGCCAUGUGAAAUUCUAUGUAUAAGGUGGAUCAAAAAGGCUGGUUGAUUAUAGACUUUGAAGGAGGGCUCGUUUGCAGGGUGGUGGUCGUGAAGGAUUGUUGCUUGGGUAAGGAGAAGGAGACUCCACUCCAAGCGUUUUGAGCAAGAAGCUCCUUUCCUGAAAAAUCCAACAACAUAACUGGUUAGGCUUGCUCUCCUGCUAUAUGCACUUAAGCUUUUUAUACUAGCCAUUACAUAACUUACUGAAAUAGAAUAUGUGACUGAAAAAAGUAAUAACUACUAGGCAAAAAACACGAUAGUAUUCUACUCUCUGGCUCUGCAACUAUUAUUGGCCUGGCCCGUUUUUAAUGAGUUCAGUCCUAAUGGCUGUUUAUCAUCGGUAGACUUAAGAGAGUCCUACAUACAAAUGUUGCAGGGUCAAUCUUUCCUGACAACCAGAGCCAUCAUUACUAAUACCACUAGUGAUUUCAGAAGACUAGAAGUCCUACAAAUGUUUCGAUGAAGUAAUUUGAGAAGCCUACUAGUGACUUGAUAGCGACUGAAGGUGCUGCUAAUACAAUGAAGGAUGUUUCAAAUAACUUAUUAUUUGAAAGAUUUGAUCUCCUGAGGGAACUUACACUUUCAGAAAAUUUUGGGCUGGGAAUUCCUGCUGCCAAAGAUCUGAACAACGGGGUAACUUGAUUAGGAGAACUGAACUCUGUAUUUGACGAUACAGAAAUGACUGCAUCAGUUUUUGUUCCUUCAUUACAAGAUGGAAAUAUCUCUGCAGAAAUAAGAUUAGAUAUGUUAUUAUGAAAUCUAAUUAAGCUGGAAACUAUGAUAUAUAAUUCACAAGUAAAGUUAUUAUCAGCCUAUAUAUCUUAUAUGAUAAUCCAUUACCUUGCUUUCUGGUUCCACUGGAAACAAUCCCUUUCUCACAUUCACGAACAUCAUUUUCCCCUCCAAUAGGAAUGGAUUGUGAUCCAGGUUGAAUCUCCUCAAUCAGUGUACCUAUGUCAGCUUCGUUUUGUUCCACAUAACAUUCUGUUUGGGACAGGAGAGUUGACCCUGUACUGUAUUCAGAGCGUCCUGGGGACUCAUCGUAUAGAUCUGGUUGCCUACAAUAAUAUGUCAUCAAUUAGAUGAUGUAUGGUGAUUUAAGCAUGCUCAAAUCAGAAUAGUCCAGGUCACUUUUCUUACUGCCAAGAUGGUCGACUUCCUUCAUUAGUACUCCUUAAGUCCUCUAACAGAUAUUUAAGAUCUUCGAGUUGAAAAUCAAAAUCAGUAAUUCCAUAACUGAGGAUGUCGCUUUCUUUGCUUUGAUUCAAGAAAUCCUGGAGCACCUGGAUAUCACAUUUGAUAUAUGUUAGAGGAUAUGCAGACUCAAUUUUGCACCAUACUUAAAAUUUUGAUUGGAGGAAAUUCAAGUACUAAGGGAACCUCAGAUGUCAUGCUAUAGAUAGUUAUGUCAGGAAAGCUAGAUUAUAACACUGAUGAAUAAACAUUCAACCAAGUCUCAUAACUACAUUAUUCUCUGUUGGAAUGGUCUGGACUAUCUUACAAAAAGGAUGGCAUCUGUUGAUUGAUGUUGGGAAUUGUACUCAUUUGGUUGCUACAUAUGUGAGUCAUAUUUAUAUUUUGAUAUCAAUUACAUGUUGAUAGCUGAGGCCACAACCAAUGAAAAAUUAAAUCUCACCUUCCAAGCAUUUUCAAGACUCUGGUCUGUGUUCUCUGUGUUAACUUUUAGUGCCAAUGAGCUGAGCAACUCUGCUUGUUGCAUCAGAGCAGUUAUCUUCGGAUCGUCCUUCUUGAGAAAUGAUCCUUGAAACUUGCUAUUUUGUGCUGCUGAUAAAUGACAUUAAGAAUGGAAUUAGAGUCUCCUGAAGUUUUAUAAUUGAAAACAUAUAAAUCACUGCAUCUUGUAUUUUCAACUGAUAAAUAGGCCAACAUUCUGUUGGCUAAAUAGAACAAAAAUACGCUUAUGUAGUCAUUAUAUUAAAAAAAAAAACUUAUUUUCUCACACAUUUCAUGCAAUGUGCUUCUCAGGCAUUGUAAUAGCAAUCUGAUGAGUUUUCAAACAAAUUUUUAUUUGAAGUGAUUUACCAUUCCCAGGGACUUCCUUGGUGCUACUGACAUUAUGCUGGUCUGGCAGGUUGUCUACAUUGUGGAAAUUCUGAAUCAACACAGUAAAUGGAGCUCUUAGCUGCUGAUUCAUCUUUCC